rnacentral:misc_RNA from 1 species
AAUUAAAUUUUAAUUAGAGGUUAGCAAAGAGAGCCGGUGGGAGCUGCAAAGCCGGUCAAACCGAAUGGCAUGUGCGCGUACAAAAAGGGUGGUUCCUUUAUUGACCGAGAGGUAGACGACAAGUCUAUGAAGAUGGGUGGAACCGCGUGUGAUGACGUCCCUGGU